CCUACGGGGCGCUGCAGUGAGGAAUAUUGGUCAAUGGACGAGAGUCUGAACCAGCCAAGUAGCGUGAAGGAUGACUGCCCUAUGGGUUGUAAACUUCUUUUAUAAAGGAAUAAAACGAGGCACGUGUGCCUUUUUGCAUGUACUUUAUGAAUAAGGAUCGGCUAACUCCGUGCCAGCAGCCGCGGUAAUACGGAGGAUCCGAGCGUUAUCCGGAUUUAUUGGGUUUAAAGGGAGCGUAGAUGGGUUGUUAAGUCAGUUGUGAAAGUUUGCGGCUCAACCGUAAAAUUGCAAUUGAUACUGGCAGUCGUGAGUACAGUUGAGGUAGGCGGAAUUCGUGGUGUAGCGGUGAAAUGCUUAGAUAUCACGAAGAACCCCGAUUGCGAAGGCAGCUUACUAAACUGUGACUGACAUUGAUGCUCGAAAGUGUGGGUAUCAAACAGGAUUAGAUACCCCAGUAGUC
rnacentral:rRNA from 1 species